GCAGUCGAGCGAACAUUUUAAAGGAAGUUUUCGGAUGGAAUUUGAAAUGACUGAGCGGCGGACGGGUGAGUAACGCGUGGGUAACCUGCCUCAUACAGGGGGAUAACAGUUAGAAAUGACUGCUAAUACCGCAUAAGCACACAGUACCGCAUGGUACAGUGUGAAAAACUCCGGUGGUAUGAGAUGGACCCGCGUCUGAUUAGCUUGUUGGCGGGGUAACGGCCCACCAAGGCAACGAUCAGUAGCCGACCUGAGAGGGUGACCGGCCACAUUGGGACUGAGACACGGCCCAAACCCCUACGGGAGGCAGCAGUGGGGAAUAUUGCACAAUGGGGGAAACCUUGAUGCAGCAACGCCGCGUGAGUGAAGAAGUAUUUCGGUAUGUAAAGCUCUAUCAGCAGGGAAGAAAGUGACGGUACCUGACUAAGAAGCCCCGGCUAACUACGUGCCAGCAGCCGCGGUAAUACGUAGGGGGCAAGCGUUAUCCGGAUUUACUGGGUGUAAAGGGAGCGUAGACGGCACAGCAAGUCUGAAGUGAAAUCCCCGGGCUCAACCCGGGAACUGCUUUGGAAACUGUUGGGCUG
rnacentral:rRNA from 1 species